UACGUAGGGGGCAAGCGUUGUCCGGAAUCAUUGGGCGUAAAGAGCGUGUAGGCGGCCAGAUAAGUCCGCUGUGAAAUCUCGAGGCUCAACUUCGAGCUGUCGGUGGAAACUGUCUGGCUAGAGUCCGGAAGAGGAGAAUGGAAUUCCUGGUGUAGCGGUGAAAUGCGCAGAUAUCAGGAAGAACACCCGUGGCGAAGGCGGUUCUCUGGGACGGUACUGACGCUGAGACACGAAAGCGUGGGGAGCAAACAGG
rnacentral:rRNA from 1 species